rnacentral:rRNA from 1 species
CUCCUGGAAACGGGUGGUAAUGCCGGAUGCUCCGACAUGACGCAUGUCGUGUUGGGAAAGAUUCAUCGGUAUGGGAUGGGGUCGCGUCCUAUCAGCUUGUUGGUGGGGUGAUGGCCCACCAUGGCUUCGACGGGUAGCCGGCCUGAGAGGGCGACCGGCCACAUUGGGACUGAGAUACGGCCCAGACUCCUACGGGAGGCAGCAGUGGGGAAUAUUGCACAAUGGGCGCAAGCCUGAUGCAGCGACGCCGCGUGCGGGAUGACGGCCUUCGGGUUGUAAACCGCUUUUGACUGGGAGCAAGCCCUUCGGGGUGAGUGUACCUUUCGAAUAAGCACCGGCUAACUACGUGCCAGCAGCCGCGGUAAUACGUAGGGUGCAAGCGUUAUCCGGAAUUAUUGGGCGUAAAGGGCUCGUAGGCGGUUCGUCGCGUCCGGUGUGAAAGUCCAUCGCUUAACGGUGGAUCCGCGCCGGGUACGGGCGGGCUUGAGUGCGGUAGGGGAGACUGGAAUUCCCGGUGUAACGGUGGAAUGUGUAGAUAUCGGGAAGAACACC